rnacentral:lncRNA from 1 species
GCCCCCGAGGUGGGCAGGAGCCGAAGCCUGGGUGCUGCCCGCCCUCCUGCCUUCAUUUCCCAUCGUGCUGAGGCGGGUGGUAUGGCGGAGAAGGAUGACACCGGAGUUUGACGAAGAGGUGGUUUUUGAGGUGAGGAGAAAAUGGCGGGGAGUGUGGACCGUCUUUGUUUCCGAAGGACUAAAGGAAGAGCGAGAAGGCAAAGCGAUUCAGAGGGGAGGGAUAGGGUGACGGGCGCCUGCGGGCCUGGGUCCCCAAUCCUCCGCUGUUUCGGGGCCUACUUGCUGCAGCCGCCUGACAGGUAUAGCUCAGGGGAUCCUGGCGUGGUUGGCCUCUGCCCCGAGCUCGCCCAGAAUUCCCAGACCCGGCGCAAUUGACCGGCCCUGGGCGGGAGCCUUGAUCGGUUCUUACCCUAUGGCUGCACCGCCCUGGACUGCGCCUCGUUGGGGCGGGGCCGAAACGUGCUGGAUAUUCUGUCUACUACUUAACCUCCUUCCCUUUUUAUCUUUGAUUUUUGCGGGCCUGUUAAUCCAUAAGUGCCUCCGGUCAUCAUCAUCAUCAUAAUCAUCAUCAUCAAGGUGUGGCCUCUGGAAUGCAGGCAGGCAGCAGGUGCCUUUCUAUGUGGGGUUUAAGGUCUGUUAAGUGAGACCUGUGGCCAAUGGUGUGAGCUCUGGCGUCUCAGCACCUAGGUUCCAUUCUUUUGUCCUUGCUGUUGCGCUAAGUGUAGCCAGUUCUGAAUGGAAGCUCUGGUCUGGAUGUGAAUGCUUUUGUGUUGGACUAUUUUAAGAUGUCUCUGCCAUCUUGAAUUUAAAAAAUAAAGCCUAGUUAAUGGCUUUAGUGCCAUUUUUACCCCAUCAGACAGGUCAAUACCCACACCCUGGAACGUGUAUGUGUAUGUAUUGAAUAUGUAUGCCAUACUUUCCCUCAGCCAACUAGAUUUCAGGGAAUUCAUACAAGAGAAAGAGAAGAAAUCCCCCGUGGUGUAUAAUGGGAGGGUGAGGUACGGUACAGAAUGUGAAGUAUUGAGAUAUCUAAAAACUGCCCGUGGAAGCAUAAUUUGGAACCCAUUGUCCACUCAUAGCACUUUAAAAAGCUACACACAGCAAGUGAUACCCUAGGUAAAUCUUCAGCUCUGAAUGAAAUUAGGAAGAUUGAUGGGAGAAAAUGUACUCCAGGAAAAGGGUUUUAUGUAUGCCAAAGAUCGGGGUGGGGUGACAAUACUGAACGUGCAGCUUUAGGGGCUGGAGUAUGGAGGGUUGCAAAGUGACUUAAUAUAGCUACAGUAUCGAGGAGGGAAAUAUGACUGCUUUGCUAUUAUGAAGGGUCUAGAUAUGAGGACUUGAGUAGAGAGGACAAAGGCAUACAUUUUGGAAGUCAGAAAAAUUAAUACUGACUUGGAUAUUCAUCUCUAAUAUGAAAUUGAGGGAAUGGCUACAGAUUGAAUGUGGGAGAUAAAGAGGAGAAAAAAGUAGGUGGCUGAAAUUUUUAUUUUUUUACCCUGCUUUCUUUGGUUUCUGGACAUAAUAAGUGUGUUUUUGGUUUGCAGAGUUUUAUUGGUCUGGGGAUGUAGUUCAAUGGGUAGAGCGCUUGGCUUGAAUGCACAAGUCUCUUGGUUCAAUUGGCAGCGCCACACAAACCUGAUAGGGUGGUAUACACGUGCCUGGGAUUCCAGCACUCAAAAGGUGCUUUUAAGAGCAUCAUAAGAACUUCAAAGUAUCAGCUACUUAGUGAGUUAGAGACUAGGGUGAGAUAGGAGAGACCCUAUCUUAGAAAACAUUUUGUUACAAAAG